UACGGAGGGUGCAAGCGUUAAUCGGAAUUACUGGGCGUAAAGCGCGCGUAGGCGGCUUGUUAAGUCGGAUGUGAAAGCCCUGGGCUCAACCUAGGAAUUGCAUUCGAUACUGGCGAGCUAGAGUAUGAUAGAGGGUGGUGGAAUUCCUAGUGUAGCGGUGAAAUGCGUAGAUAUUAGGAGGAACAUCGGUGGCGAAGGCGGCCACCUGGGUCAAUACUGACGCUGAAGUGCGAAAGCGUGGGGAGCAAACAGG
rnacentral:rRNA from 1 species